GGCAUCGUAGCUCAGUUGGGAGAGCAGCAGAUUCAACUGUUAUUUUUCCCUUGUAGGGUUAUCUGAAGGUCCUGUGUUCGAUUCACAGUGAUGCCG